UGAGAUAGUCAGGCGGCCGCGGCGCACUUCGCUGCGUCGAGGAACGUCCGGGCUCCACAGGGCAAGGUGGUGGCUAACGGCCACCCGGGGUGACCCGCGGGACAGUGCCACAGAAAAGACACCGCCACGGAUUUUCCGGGGUAAGGGUGAAAAGGUGGGGUAAGAGCCCACCAGCGGUGCGGGUGACCGCAUCGGCUAGGUAAACCCCACUUGGAGCAAGACCGAGCAGCAGACGCCACGGGUGGCCCGCCCAAUGUCUGCGGGUAGGUUGCUAGAGGCCUGCGGCAACGCAGGUCCCAGAUGGAUGGUCGCCACUGCGUCGCUUCGGCGACGCAGGACAGAACCCGGCGUAUCGACUAUCUCAUUCG
rnacentral:RNase_P_RNA from 1 species